UGAGUGACAAUGGCAUCUCUUUGACAUCAUACAAAGGGUAGUGAUGAGUUCAUAAAGCCUCAGCCUCUCAGCGUUAAGUAGGAGCUCCCAUAGCAACAAACUCCUAAGGUAGCCUCGGACCAGCACCUGAAUUCUUCAUCCAUGCCAGAGAGGCCCAGGACAGUGCUCCCAACCAUGAAGAGUAAGGCGCAAAAUGAGAAUACUGCGCAGUACAGCAUGAGAAACCAAGAGAAUUACUCAGCAAUUGGAAGUGACCCAGACCCAGGAGACUGACCAGCCCAUGCCGCAUCUGUCCAGCCCAGGGGCCAAGGGAAUUGGAAUCCCACACUCCAGAACCAGUCAUGGUCUACCGGUGUGUUGCAGCAUGUUAUUGGCCGCCUCUGGCCUGGAAUUGUUCCAGCACAUAGAGGAUCCCCAUCAAAUAUUUUUUUCCCUUAUGAAUGGAAUAAAAGGAAGAAGGUGAUCUCUUCUGGAAACUAGAGAUGGAAAGAGUUGGAUGGGUUGGAAGGGGUGAGCAGAACAGGAGCCAUGAGCCAGUAAAGUGCAUCCUAGCUCUCACAGACUUCUCUUGCUGAAUCCAUACUGGACGCUCUUGGCCUAGCCAACACCUGCCCGCUGAGGGCCAGCUCCCAUCCAACCCGACCCACCUCCUCCAUGAAGCCUCUCUGACUGCUGACCUGAAGUCUUCUGUGCUUAACACCUAACUACCUCUGGUGGCCCCUUUUGUUUUAAGUAGCCUUCGUGCCUAGUGUGGAGCCCAAUGCAGGGUUUGAACUCACAACCCUGAGAUCAAGACCUGACCAGAGACCAAGAGUUGGACGCCUAACUGACUGAACCACCCAGGCACCCCUCAUGUGGCCCUUUUCAGAAGGCUGCCUUUUGACAUCUCUCUCCUAUUGUGAACAGCAGGCCAAAGCCCACAUGCUGUUUGUAGUUUGCCAGGCCUGUGUCUCAAGUCCCUGCCUCAUCCUCACCCUCCUUGAGGAAGAGGCCGCCUCGCCCUUCUGUGUGUUCACCCAGUGCACAGUGAGCACCUUCUGGCCAUGCAAAUUCUUUGGGACCUGCUUGGUGACUUGGAGUUGAGCUCUGCUGCCUGCAGGCACUGGGAGUGAGCCUGCCAUGGGGUAGGCAUGGGGCUAAGUGUGCUGGAUGGGGCCGGUAUGGAGCAGUGGAGACCAGAUGGUGAGAGAGCGCACUGAGAAGGAGAGAAAAGAAAGCCAUCAGACCGAGAGCACCUGUUGUUGUUAGAGCAGUGUGAGGACCCACAUCCAACCAGCUGGCCGUCUCUGCUCCUUGCUCUUGUCACAACCUUCCAGAAGAGAUACGGACACUCAGAAUUGUCCCCAUUCUCCCUUCUCUUUGUUUCCAGUGCUGGUAGUGGUCAGUGUUUGGUGCAGAUAAAAUGAUACAGCGAUACUGCUGAUGGGGGCGAUUUAUCUUGCCCUUAACAUCCAAGAGAGUAAAGGAUAAGGAUCUGAUAGGCUAGUAGUAGGUUGAAAGGUGACCGUAAGCCUGUGAGUGAGGGUCACCAAUACAUAAGCCCAUGUGGGUGCCCGAGCAAGAAGGUAAUGUUCAUGCCGUGGGUUCAGGAAGGACUCUCACGGACCUAAGAUAGGUUAGAAAUGCACUGCACUCCUGAGUCUGGUUCUGGGCUCCCACAGGGGACACUGGCACUUAGAGAGAGGUCAGAGGGUAGCCUCGAAGGUGAUGAGCAGGACGGGCAGCAGGGCCUGGGAGAAAAAGAGGCUGGGAUUAUUCAUCAGGGGAAGACAGGCAGGCAGGAUUUAACACAAUCUUCAGGUAUCAGAAGAGCUCUCAGGCAGUGCAGGCUAAGUCUUGGCAGUGGCUACUGAGGAUGGAACAAGGAAAGAAACUUAAUCCACAGCAUAAGGGAUUUAGGAUAGAAUUUCCUGAUGGUGAAGGUUGUUAAAAGUUGCAAUGAAUGGUCUAGAGAGAGAUUCUGGUCUACUCUGGAAGCUUUUACAAGUAGAAGAGAUUAUCCUCUGGCAGGGCAGCUUAUCUCUAAUCCUGCCUGAAGGCAGGGGAAUGGACACAAUGACCUCAGGGUCUCCUUCAGACUUGGAAAGCAGGUCUUCCCAUCGGCAGACCAGCCAACACUGCUCUGCAGGUGAUGCACUUCAAGGAAGGCCCAGAGUGUUCCCAGAAAUAAAGAGAAGCUGCCUGAUGUGA